rnacentral:rRNA from 1 species
CUAAGAAAGAUUUGACGAAAGCAAAUUUUGAUGGGAUAAUUUUUAAAUUAAAUUUUUUUAAAAAGUGACAAAAAUUUUAAAUUUUUCAGGAAAUAACUUUUUAAUUAAAAACCGUACCCUAAACCGACACAGGUAGAUAGGUCGAGUAGACUAAGGUGAAUGGGAGAACUAUAUUGAAGGAACUCGGCAAAAUGACUUUGUAACUUCGGGAUAAAAAGUACCUAUAAUUUAAAAAUUAGGUGUCACAAAAUAGGGGGUUGCGACUGUUUAAUAAAAACUUAGGACUCUGCUAAAUGGUAACAUGAUGUAUAGGGUCUGACACCUGCCCGGUGCUGGAAGAUUAAAAAGAGAUGUUUACGCAUUAAAUGGAAGUCCCAGUAAACGGCGGCCGUAACUCUGACGGUCCUAAGGUAGCGAAAUUCCUUGUCGGGUAAGUUCCGACCUGCAUGAAUGGUGUAACGACAUCCCCGCUGUCUCCAAUAUAGACUCAGUGAAUUUGAAUUAUCCGUGAAGAUGCGGAUUUUCUAUAGUUAGACGGAAAGACCCCGUGAACCUUUACUACAUUUUUAUAUUGUUAUUUUAUUUAAUACGUGUAGUAUAAGUGGUAAUUGUAGAAACCUUUACGCUAGUAAAUUGUUUAGAUGUCUUUGAAAUACCACUCUUAUUAAAAUAAAUAACUAAUAUUUGUUAAAUAAACAGUGUAUGAUUGGUAGUUUGACUGGGGCGGUCACCUCCUAAAGAGUAACGGAGGUGUACAAAGGUAAGCUCAAAUUGGAUAAUAAUAUCAAUUGUAGAAUGGAAUGGUAAAAGCUUGCUUGACUGUAAGAUAGACAUAUCAAACAGGGACGAAAGUCGGUCAUAGUGAUCCGAUAAUUCUUUGUGGAAAGAUUAUCGCUCAACGGAUAAAAGGUACUCCGGGGAUAACAGGCUAAUGACUCCUAAGAGCUCCUAUCGACGGAGUCGUUUGGCACCUCGAUGUCGACUCAUCACAUCCUGGAGCUGAAGAAGGUUCCAAGGGUUCGGCUGUUCGCCGAUUAAAGUGGUACGUGAGUUGGGUUUAGAACGUCGUGAGACAGUUUGGUUCCUAUCUUCUAUAGAUAUUUUGAAAAAUGAAAGAAUCUAACUCUAGUACGAGAGGACCGAGAAAGGUAAAUCUCUGGUGUAUCGGUUGUUGAAAAGCAUCGCCGAGUAGCUAAAUUUAUUUUGGAUAAUUACUGAAAGCAUCUAAGUAAGAAACCAUUCUUAAAAUUUUUUCAUAAAAAAACUGUAAAAGAUUAUUACAUUGAUAGGUUUUAAGUGUACUUAUUGUAAAAUAUUUAGCUUAAAAAUACUAAAAGUUUAAAAAUAUAAUUAU